rnacentral:rRNA from 1 species
AUUGAACGCUGGCGGCAUGCCUUACACAUGCAAGUCGAACGGCAGCACGGGAGCUUGCUCCUGGUGGCGAGUGGCGAACGGGUGAGUAAUACAUCGGAACGUACCCUGAAGUGGGGGAUAACGUAGCGAAAGUUACGCUAAUACCGCAUAUUCUGUGAGCAGGAAAGAGGGGGAUCGCAAGACCUCUUGCUUUAGGAGCGGCCGAUGUCGGAUUAGCUAGUUGGUGAGGUAAAGGCUCACCAAGGCGACGAUUCGUAGCGGGUCUGAGAGGAUGAUCCGCCACACUGGGACUGAGACACGGCCCAGACUCCUACGGGAGGCAGCAGUGGGGAAUUUUGGACAAUGGGCGCAAGCCUGAUCCAGCCAUGCCGCGUGAGUGAAGAAGGCCUCGG